GAUGAACGCUGGCGGCGUGCCUAAUACAUGCAAGUCGAGCGAACGGACGAGAAGCUUGCUUCUCUGAUGUUAGCGGCGGACGGGUGAGUAACACGUGGAUAACCUACCUAUAAGACUGGGAUAACUUCGGGAAACCGGAGCUAAUACCGGAUAAUAUUUUGAACCGCAUGGUUCAAAAGUGAAAGACGGUCUUGCUGUCACUUAUAGAUGGAUCCGCGCUGCAUUAGCUAGUUGGUAAGGUAACGGCUUACCAAGGCAACGAUGCAUAGCCGACCUGAGAGGGUGAUCGGCCACACUGGAACUGAGACACGGUCCAGACUCCUACGGGAGGCAGCAGUAGGGAAUCGGCCGCAAUGGGCGAAAGCCUGACGGAGCAACGCCGCGUGAGUGAUGAAGGUCUUCGGAUCGUAAAACUCUGUUAUUAGGGAAGAACAUAUGUGUAAGUAACUGUGCACAUCUUGACGGUACCUAAUCAGAAAGCCACGGCUAACUACG
rnacentral:rRNA from 1 species